rnacentral:lncRNA from 10 species
AUGACCAUCCUUUUAUUAGAAUCCUUGGGAUGCUACUAGUCUGGAUUUGCAGAAUUCACCAAAAUGAAUGACUUUUGCUAUUACCUGUCAAGUUGAUUUCAUCUUCUGUGUCCAGACAGCUAUCCAAACCAAUAUAACCAGGAAAUUUACUCUGGAUUCCUCAGAUCAAUAGAUGAAUGGUUUUGUUGUUGUUUUGUUGUUGUUUGAGACGGAGUUUUGUUCUUGUUGCCCUGGUUGCCCAGGCUGGAGUGCAGUGGCGUGACCUCAGCUCACCGCAACCUCCGCCUCCUGGGUUCAAGCAAUUCUCCUGCCUCAGCCUCCCGAGUAGCUGGGAUUACAGGCAUGUGCCACCACCACACCCAGCUAAUUUUGUAUUUUUAGUAGAGACGGGGUUUCUCCAUGUUGAUCAGGCUGGUCUUGAACCCCCGACCUCAGGUGUUCCACCCACCUCAGCCUUCCAAAGUGCUGGGAUUACAGGCAUGAGCCACCCGGCCAAUGAAUGGUUUUUAAAACAAAAAUCACAAUGAGCCUGUUGCCUUUUAUUGGCUUUGGUUUUAGGAGGAGAAACUUUAAAAGCUUGGAGUUGAAGGAUAAUGGUUCAACCUUUCUUGGCGUGUAAGUGAUUUAUGACCUCCUAAUUUAACGAAAGUAACAACAGCGAAGACAAGCCACUUAUUAGCGUUUCCUGGCAAUUCCAUCAGGGAGAUAGGGGUUGGGGCCUUGAGAGCCCAAGAAUUAAACAACAGCUGAAUGUUAUUCAAAAUCUAAAUUCAUUAUACACAUUGUUGCUUUACUAAAAUCUUUACUAAAAUGUGAUCAAGAAAGCCUUGGCAGGGCACGGUCUUGAAAGAUGAGUACCAACUCAUCUUGGGCAGGCAGAUAUCUUGCCAGGCAGAUAGGGUGGGGAGAGCCUUCAGGGCAAGGGAGGAGCAAGGGCAAGAGUCUUGAAGGCUGAAGAGUGAGCAGGAUGUGGAGAGGAAGUUUCAGGCUCCACAGGGUCAUGGGGGCAGGCCCAGAGCAAGGAAGAGAGAAAGGAGGGUGAUCCAGGGAGGUGAGUUGAUGAGAGGAGGCAGAUGUACUAAGUCCAUACAUGAGUGCAGUAUUUGACAGUUUGCAAAGCACCUUCAUACCCACUAUCUCACCAGGUCCUGCUAGCUCAGUGAUGAGGUGGGACACCUAACGUCCUCACUUCCAGGUGAUGAAAUGGAGGCCUGGAGGAGUUUCUAAAGUCGUACAACUCCUAAGUGGUGGAGCCAGGAUUAGAAUGAGAUAUUUUGACCUCUGGACACUGCUCUUUCCACCAUAAACUGAUAUGUUCCAGGAGCAUUGAAGAAAGCUUCCUAGCAUAUUGGGAAGAAAACUCAUGGUUGGGGUGUGGCUGGGUGGAUGGAUGGGCGGAUGGAUGGAUGGAUGGAUGGAUGGAUGGAUGGAUGGAUGGAUGGAUGGAUGGAUCAAUGGGUGGAUGUGGAGAUCAGAGUCUCAAGAGAAAAAGAGUUAAGAGUCCAGCAGUUGUGCAGGUGAGAUGGGGGAUUCAAACGUCUAUCAGGAAGGUGGAUUUGUGAGAUACAGAGGCAGUGGAGUGAAUAGAACUUCAUGUCUGACCACAUGUGAGAAUGAGAAAGAAAUAAGAGUGUAAUGGCCGGACACAGUGGUUCAGGCCUAUAAUCACAGCACUUCGGGAGGCUGAGGUGGGCAGAUCACCUGAGGUCGGGAGUUUGAGACUAGCCUGACCAAUGUGGAGAAACCCUGUCUCUACUAAAAAUACAAAAAAUUAGCUGGGAGUGGUGGCGCAUGCCUGUAAUCCCAGCUACUCAGGAUGCUGAGGCAGGAGAAUCACUUGAACCCAGGAGGCAGUGGUUGCGGUGAGCCGAGAUCACGCCAUUGCACUCCAGCCUGGGCAGCAAGAGCGAUCAAAAAAAGAAAUAAGAAUGUAGGAUAACACCCAAGUUUUGACCUUGGAUGAUUAAAGGACCACAAAGGAAAACAAACUUAAACCUUACAGCCAAAGUGGUAAAGGUAGAGAUGAUGAAUGUUAACUUCGAAUAUGUCUAAUAGUCAGUUGAUAUCAAUGGAUCUGGAAUUCAGGAAAAGUGUCUGAGAUAUCCAGGAGAUUCAUUAGGUCAUCAGCGAUCAAAGGUUAGCAUUUUAUUAUAGAUGUUCACUGUGUUAUUAUAAAUAACGUUAAAAAAGAGAAAAAUAAAAAGGAAAGGUCUUAAACAUGUAACAGUUGCAGAUUGGCUCAUUUAUGUUACAGCCAUAUAUUGAAAUGCAAUUCAGACCUUAAAAAUGAGUGCUGGCUUUGGGAGGCCAAAGUGGGCAGAUUACUUGAGGUCAAGAGUUUGAGGCCAGCCUGGUCAACAUGGUGAAACCUCAUCUCUACCAAAAUACAAAAAUUAACCAGGUGUAGUGGCAUGUGUCUGUAAUCCCAGCUGCUUAGGAGGCUGAGUGAGGCAGGAGAAUUGCUUGAACCCAAGAGGCAGAGGUUGCAGUGAGCUGAGAUGGUACCACUGCACUCCAGCCUGGGCAACAGAGUGAGACUCCGUCUC